rnacentral:misc_RNA from 1 species
UGCACUAGUGAUUAAAUCGUAGCGUGGUCUUCAUUGACCGCUCAGCCCUUCUCACUCAUCCUGCACAUAGCUGACCUGUGGGGGGCACUGUUUAGUCCUGAGCCGUUUUCUCGGUCGGCCAGGUUAUCAUUCAUAGCAACAACUCUAGUCUUAUGAAUGUAAACGUUUUAAUAACAUAAUA